CAUACCCGCCUGAACUUUAAGGAAUUCCCCCAUUAACGGCGUAGUGAAGUGGGAAUAGCCCAGCACCGAAUCCCUCAGCCUUGCGCUGCCGGGACCUGUGGUGUUUGGGACGACCGCUGUCGUGUUGUUCGGGUGCCCAAGUCCUCCCGAUCGGGGCCUCUCCCACAGUGGGUGUUAGGCCUUUACCGGCACUCGUCGACACGGCUAUGGUCGUCCUCGGAGUCGGGUUGUUUGGGAAUGCAGCCCAAAGCUGGUGGUAAACUCCAUCUAAGGCUAAAUACUGACACGAGUCCGAUAG
rnacentral:rRNA from 1 species